AUAUUGUCGAUGAAAAGAAGUAGUAGUUGUUGAUCCACUUUAAGAGACCGAAUGGAUGGUGUAAAUUCGGAGUGUAGCACGAUGAACUCGUCUUUUGCCGGAUUGUUUCUGAAUGAAGUAGGAAAUGACGUUUUCCGCGUUAAGGAUAUCAAGUGUGCUUUAUGCAAAUCUAGGUGGUACCGCGGAUUUUUUCGUCCUAAGA
rnacentral:ncRNA from 1 species